UACGUGUUUUCAUUUUGAUCUUGCUUAAUUACAAUAAAUUUCAUUAAUAUUCGUCACCAAUAAAACUCAAGCAUAGAAAUCGUGAAAAUUGCACUUUGUUACCAAAUUAAAAGCCAAUUUAGCUCUCCACCAUAAAGCUUGCACCGUAAAACCAGAUCAGAACAGCAACAACAAGCGAUACAAUAUAUCCAGAUUUAUCGUGACUUUAUUAAGAUGAAUGUGACAACAACAAUGGACUGGAGAAACGAAAUGAACCAAAUGCUCGUUGCAUUCGAUCGCCAGGCCUUCCAUACUUUGGGCAAGAUAAGUAUGGCCUUCAAGUGCAAUGGUCUGUCAUUUGAUCCGAAUUUUAAGAACUACUUUUUGAAAACGUCAAAGGAACGAUUGGAGGCAACCUACCACCAAUUCGAAAUCAAUUUACAGCUUGAAAGACAGAUGUACGAUUGCACUACUGACAGUGCCAAAAUCUCAGCCGGUCAUCAAAUGGAAA